AGUGAACGCUGGCGGUAGGCCUAACACAAGCAAGUCGAACGGCAGCACAGGAGAGCUUGCUCUCUGGGUGGCGAGUGGCGGACGGGUGAGGAAUACAUCGGAAUCUACCUUUUCGUGGGGGAUAACGUAGGGAAACUUACGCUAAUACCGCAUACGACCUACGGGUGAAAGUGGGGGACCGCAAGGCCUCACGCGAUUAGAUGAGCCGAUGUCCGAUUAGCUAGUUGGCGGGGUAAUGGCCAACCAAGGCGACGAUCGGUAGCUGGUCUGAGAGGAUGAUCAGCCACACUGGAACUGAGACACGGUCCAGACUCCUACGGGAGGCAGCAGUGGGGAAUAUUGGACAAUGGGCGCAAGCCUGAUCCAGCCAUACCGCGUGGGUGAAGAAGGCCUUCGGGUUGUAAAGCCCUUUUGUUGGGAAAGAAAUCCUGUCGAUUAAUACUCGGUGGGGAUGACGGUACCCAAAGAAUAAGCACCGGCUAACUUCGUGCCAGCAGCCGCCGUAAAAC
rnacentral:rRNA from 1 species